rnacentral:rRNA from 1 species
AACGAACGCUGGCGGCAUGCCUAACACAUGCAAGUCGAACGAGACCUUCGGGUCUAGUGGCGCCCGGGUGCGUAACGCGUGGGAACCUGCCCUUAGGUUCGGAAUAACUCCCCGACAGGGGUGCUAAUAACGGAUAAUGUCUUCGGACCAAAGAUUUAUCGCCUUUGGAUGGGCCCGCGUUGGAUUAGCUAGUUGGUAGGGUAAAAGCCUACCAAGGCGACGAUCCAUAGCUGGUCUGAGAGGCUGAUCAGCCACACUGGGACUGAGACACGGCCCAGACCACUACGGGAGGCAGCAGUCGGGAAUCUUCAGGGAUGGGAGAAAGGGGGAAGGAGGAACGCAGCGUGAGGGAUGAAGGUCUUAGGACCGUAAAACUCUGUUAUUAGGGAAGAACAUAUGUGUAAUUAACCGUGCACAUCUGGACGGUACCUGAUCAGAAAGCCACGGCUAACUACGUG